GGUAGGGUUCAUUCUUUUCAGUGAAAUCUUCUAUUUUAUAAGCAAUUAAAGAAACACUAUAGUCACCAAAACAACUUUAGCGUAAUGAAGUAGUGUUUGUUUGUGUACAGAUCAUGCAUCUGAAGUUUCACCGCUCAAUUUAGGAGUUAAAUCACCUUUGUUUCUGUUUAUGCUGCUCUACCCAUACCUCACUGGCUGUGACUGACACAG